GUUUACGGCCAUAUCACGUUGAAAACGCCAGUUCUCGUCCGAUCACUGAAGCUAAGCAACGUCGAGCCUGGUUAGUACUUGGAUGGGUGACCGCCUGGGAAUACCAGGUGCUGUAGACU
rnacentral:rRNA from 1 species